UGAAAGACCUGUUGGUAGUGAGACG
rnacentral:miRNA from 1 species